rnacentral:lncRNA from 1 species
ACAAACACAUAGACACACAUACACACACAAUCUUUCUUUCUUUCUCUCUCUCUCUCUCUCAAACACGAACAUGCACAAUCACACACACAUUCAUAUACAAACAAAACAUUAUAGUGGUUAUUGAGGGGUUUAUAAGUGUUUUUAGUUGUUUAUAGUGAUUUUUAGUGGUUUUUAAGGGUUUAUAGUGGUUAUUGGGGGUUUAUAAGUGUUUUUAGGUGUUUUUAGUGGUUUUUAAGGACUUAUAGUGGUUUUUUAUGCGUUUUUAAGUGUUUCUAUGCGUU